AGCCAAUUGACAUAGUGGUUUGAGUAUUGGACCAUAACUCUGGAGACCAGGGUUCGAUUCCCUGUUUGGUCA